GCCCGGUUAGCUCAAUCGGUAGAGCGUGAGACUCUUAAUCUCAAGGUUGCGGGUUCGACCCCCGUAUCGGGCU
rnacentral:tRNA from 1 species